rnacentral:rRNA from 1 species
UACAGAGGGGGCAAGCGUUAUUCGGAAUUAUUGGGCGUAAAGGGCGCGUAGGCGGCCUGGCAAGUGGAAGGUGAAAUCCCUCGGCUUAACCGAGGAACUGCCUUCCAAACUGCUUGGCUUGAGUCCGGGAGAGGUGAGUGGAAUUCCCAGUGUAGCGGUGAAAUGCGUAGAUAUUGGGAGGAACACCAGUGGCGAAGGCGGCUCACUGGACCGGAACUGACGCUGAUACGCGAAAGCGUGGGGAGCAAACGGG